GAGAGAGCUUGACAACUUUGAUCAACAUCCGAUAAAAGACCAAAACUUCAGCUAACACUAAGAUACCGCAUUUCUUUGUCCAACUUCAUUAAGAUUUUUCGUAUGAACAUUUUCAAACUGUACGACUAAGAAGAAAAUGAAAAUAUAGUAAUAGAUGGUCAAAAUCCAUGUAGAGAUAUCCCUGUUUCGUCAGCAGUAUUCACUAUUGACUGUAUAAAGAAUAUGAUACUGACCAAGCCUUUUCAAUCACACUUCUUUCUUCCUCCUUCUUAUUCCUAAUUCUGUGUACAUUUCUAAAUUACAAUAAGCAGGAGAGCAGAUUAGAAGCCCCCUGGCUCGAACUGUGCUGGCACCAUGGUUAUUUGUGAUCCUCAUUGCAACUAGUACUUUCACAGCAAGUUUGACUUCCAUGAUGACUGUUUCACAACUAGAGCCAUCUGUGUUAGAUAUCCAGACCCUUCUGAAAAGAAAUUCUGCAGUUGGUUGUAAUGGAAAUUCGUUCAUUGUGAAGUAUUUGACCGAGGUACACAAAUUCAAGCGUGAGAACAUUAAAAAAAUUAACAAUAUAAAUGAUUACCCUGCUGCCUUUCGGAACAAAGAUAUCGAAGCUGCUUUCUUUAUUGCACCUCACGCUAAGGUCUUUUUGGCAAAGUACUCAUGCAGGGGUUUAAUCAAAGCAGGGAACACUUUCAGGCUUGGAGGCUUAGGUUUUGUGGGUGGUCUCUCUCCUCUUAUUCUCACCAUUUUAUGACAUUGUAGGCUUGUGAAAGUUUUCUUAUAUAUACCAAUAGUCAAGGACUCAUCUAAUGCAUUUCUCCAAUUUUCUCUCCUACCAAACUUAACUUAUGAGAUACUGCACAUACUAUUUUUCAAAUGUGAUUUUCCUAUUUCUGAAGCUGUUCUAAUUAGCAUGUUUAUUUUGGUUGUUUUAUUACUUAGGUAUUUCGAAAGGGUUCAACUCUGGCUACUGACAUAUCUGAAGCAUUGCUGAAAGUGAUAGAGAGUGGAGAGACCGAACAACUAGAAAAAGAUAUGCUAACGGUAGGAGGCAAUACCACUUGUUCUCCUUUAGAGAGCAAGGCAAAGGCUAGGUCAUCGACUGGAUUUCAACCUUUCCUUGGCCUAUUUUGCAUCUGUUCUAUUGUUGCUAUUCUGGCAUUGUUAUAUAGUAUGAUUUGUUUGUUGAUGAACAAUGUAGAGACCUUCACUUGCUACAUACAUGUAAGAUUGACACAAUUAAGGAGAAUAUGGAGAUGCACAACCACAGUUUUUUUCUGGGAGCCGCUCAAGACUCCAAUCAGAAAGUCUGGGAAGUGUAAACCCGACACAGUAACAAGAAAUGCAGAGGACAGUCAUUGAUAGUCAGCAAAGCACAGUGGUUAUACGUGUAGUAUGGCUGCGAAUGGUUCCUGACAUACCAAUUUUUCAAACUGCUGAAAACAUUUCACUGCGAAGCUCUUGAUGUUUUGAGAUUAUUCAAUUUUAAUAGAAUUAAGAGUGGGUUUCAAAUCCUAUGUGUCUCCUUUAACUUUUCAUUAAGUGUUGCACCAAAAUUUAUUCCAUAAGCUCUAACGUAACAAUAGUUUAUUAUAUAUACAUUUAUUAAGCUGUUUACCUAUACACACCAGCUCAAACAAGACAACUAGAACUUUGUUGUUUGAGCUCAAAAUGAGCCAACCCAACCUAGCCUAGUUCAGUGGUGAAUUAAUUGGCCAACCUGACUCAACCCUUCUGGGUUGGCUAUCUAAAGAAAACUGAAAAAGCACAAGAAAUGGAAAUAACAGAGAAUUAUAAAAUUGCAAGAAAAAAAUAAGAUUAUACUAAUCAUACAAAAAUGUUAUGCAAAUUAAUAAUUACAACAUCCAUUGACCAAGCAAUACGUGCCCUUUUGAAAUUCACACUAAAUACAUAUAAAUUCCUAUAAUCUCAUGGCUUAACCUCUUUGCUCAAAGCUAGGGGUGACAAUACGAAGCGGACCGGUCUGCGGCUCACUACCAAAAAGUGCAAGUCGGGCUCACUAAUCUAAUCAGCUAACCCGCUUUGGCCUGUACUACAGGUUGGUCCGCUGGCCAGCGUAAUAAAAAAAUAAUUAUUAUUUUUUUGUAAAAAAAGAAUCAUACCUCAUUCAUUCAUUAUUGCAGUGUGACCUUUAUUUUAUUUUAUUUUAAAAAAAUUGAAUUUAAUAUACUAAAAAAAUGAAUGUUUUAUUUUAAUCAUAUAAAAGAGCUAGUAUUAAGAGUGACAUUGGGACGGAACAACCCAAUUCGCAUUUUGCAGAUCAAUCACAAAGCGAACCUAUGCGGGACGGACCAACUCGCAUUGACACCCAUACUCAAAGCCCAAAAGAGAUCACAAUUACAAUGCAGACAAGUGCAGAAGUAGCAUUAGCAUAAGCUAAUACUUAUGCAACAUUCUUAAGAUUAGUUUGCUAAAUUCUAAAUCUUAAGCAUAUAUUUUAAUUGCACAAUUGACAGUCUAUCCUCUCAAUUUUAUUUUUCACUUGAUAUCCUUCCUACGUGGUUACUAGUAUUGCCUUGCUUUAUUAAAUAAUUUUAUGCCCAAAUACAAACCUAACAGCCUCAACUUAAAAGAUCAUGAUCUAUAAAAUUCUUACAAGAACAAGUCAGAAACUAAUAAAGCUAUGCUGAUCCAGAACCAAAAACACAUACAAUCCAGUCCUUUGAAGAAAACAGUCAAGCCUAAAACGACCCAAAUGAAAUAAAACCCAAAUUCAUAAAAACCGAAAAAAGAAAGAGUGGUGGUGAGGUUUACUUGCAGGGGAGCUAGGAGUGGAGACACUGGUGUAGGUGGAGCAUUCUGGAGCCUAAGUCACUCACACGUGAAAGGUGGUUUGGUGGCAAUGGCUGGACAAAGCAAUUCUUGAAAAUGAGGCCGAAUAUUUGAAGUCUGCUAGAUCAUAAUCCUGCAGCAAAAUUCAAAAUUCAUUCCUUAAUUGAUUUUUUGAGAUAAGAUAGCACAAAAUAUUAGGAAGCCAGUCCAAAAUUAUCCAAACAGGAGUAAUUUUAAGAAAAUUACAAUUUUACCCUCACCUCUUUGGCUUUCCUAUCC
rnacentral:lncRNA from 1 species